rnacentral:rRNA from 1 species
UACGAAGGAGGCUAGCGUUGUUCGGAAUAACUGGGCGUAAAGCGCACGUAGGCGGAUUUGUAAGUCAGGGGUGAAAUACCGGGGCUCAACCUCGGAACUGCCUUUGAUACUGCAAGUCUAGAGUCCGGAAGAGGUGAGUGGAAUUCCUAGUGUAGAGGUGAAAUUCGUAGAUAUUAGGAAGAACACCAGUGGCGAAGGCGGCUCACUGGUCCGGAACUGACGCUGAGGUGCGAAAGCGUGGGGAGCAAACAGG